UGCACCUCAACUAAGGAAAAUUGCCUAAGUUGAGGGUUGCUAUUAUAGGGGUGCGUAAGAGGAAAACGAGUAUGAAGAUAAUGGGUAGAAGAAAAAUAGUUGAAUGAUUGGCAGGUGUGAUGAAAAGAAAAGAAAGAAAUGUGCAAUAUAUAGCAGAAUAAACCAAAAAAGAAAAAUCAGUUCUAGAAAGACACACCUAAUCCAACUGGAAUGUGCUUAAAAGAAAAAGAGAGAAAUAAGGGUGGAAAUAAUAAAAGUCAAAAGUAGUGGACCCUGAGAAGAGCAUAGUGUCCAGGAGGGAGUCCAGGAGGAUUAGUCACUAAAUAAAUCUCAAAAGAUAUCAUACCAGCC
rnacentral:lncRNA from 1 species